rnacentral:rRNA from 1 species
AACGAACGUUGGCGGCGUGGAUUAGGCAUGCAAGUCGAACGAAUCCCACGGCCGUAGCAAUACGGCGGUGGGGGAAGUGGCGAAAGGGGCAGUAAGGCGUGGCUAACCUACCCCGGGGACGGGCAUAGCCCUCCUAACGGAGGGGUAAUUCCCGGCGAUCUGGCCGAGGGGCAUCCCCCGGCCAGGAAACGAAUCUCGCCUCGGGAGGGGGUCACGUGCUAUUAGCUCGUUGGCGGGGUAACGGCCCACCAAGGCUUAGAUGGCUAGCGGGUGUGAG